rnacentral:misc_RNA from 1 species
AGCUGUUUAACUCGAUAGACAUGGUAUGUUAAUAACCUAUUGCCAUAUAUUUUGGUUGGACUUCUAUUGAUUAUCAAAUUAGCGGACAUGAAUGUCAUGCAAUUGUUGAUUUAAAGCUUUUUGUUAUUUAGUUUCUAUGUAUGUGAUGUGUAUUUAGAAACUAUCAAUUGUACCUCGAAACUUUUAUUGGGUUUUAAGCUAUGAGCGUUCUUUUCAUUGUGUGCAAGUUUUGGAAUGAGUCAAACAGAAGCUUAAGCAGCAUACACGGUUAUCUAAUAACUAUUAAAAAGUUUUGUUGCUCUAGUUUCUGGGUUUGUUUUCAUUGAAAAUGUUGUACUUCUAUUGCUGCACUCAUUUGAUCAUUGGUUUUGGCAAUUGCAGGCUCGGCUAGACCCCCACAGUU